AUGACCUUAUUGCACGGUUCAGAGAGCACUUUGUUGGUUGUUUCUAGAGAUCAUGAAGGAUCAAAUUUGUUCGUCGUUGUGGAGGGCAAAGACCGCUACCCUGCUUGUUGCUACACGACAACACGCAUCAGUCAUUUCAUAUUUUGUAUUGAUCUCAGAGCUACAUGCUUACUUGUUUUGUUGUUUUUGGAGACUAAUGAAGGAUCAAAUUUGUUCGUCGCUGUGGAGGGCGAACACCGCUACCGUGCUUGUGGCCACACGACAACACACAUCGGUAGUGUCAAUCAACCACAUGAUGUUUCUUGGGCAUUUUCCCCUCUGCCUACAUCUCUUUUACCUCAACAAAUUCAAGAAAUCAAGAUCUCUAACCCUGCUUUUCUCCUUGAUUUUUUAACUAACAUAUUUUAUAUGAUGCCCAAUUCUUUAUUUGAUGAAUUAUCUAGCUUAUACUCAAGGAUAUUUUAA
rnacentral:rRNA from 1 species